GGAAGGUGCAAGCGUUAAUCGGAAUUACUGGGGCGUAAAGCGCGCGUAGGCGGCUAGAUAAGUCGGGUGUGAAAGCCCUGGGGCUCAACCUGGGAACUGCAUUCGAUACUGUCUAGCUAGAGUGUGGUAGAGGGAGGCGGAAUUCCGCAUGUAGCGGUGAAAUGCGUAGAGAUGCGGAGGAACACCAAUGGCGAAGGCAGCCUUCUGGACCAACACUGACGCUGAGGCGCGAAAGCGUAGGGAGCAAACAGGAUUAGAUACCCUGGUAGUCCACGCCGUAAACGAUGUCAACUAGCCGUUGGGAGCGAUUUUCGGCUCUUGGUGGCGCAGCUAACGCGAUAAGUUGACCGCCGUGGGGAGUACGGUCGCAAGAUUA
rnacentral:rRNA from 1 species